rnacentral:rRNA from 1 species
GACGAACGCUGGCGGCGUGCUUAACACAUGCAAGUCGAACGAUGAAGCUGGAGCUUGCUCCGGUGGAUUAGUGGCGAACGGGUGAGUAACACGUGAGCAAUCUGCCCCUGACUCUGGGAUAACUGCGGGAAACUGUAGCUAAUACAGGAUACGAGACCUGAAGGCAUCUUCGGGUCUGGAAAGAAUUUCGGUCAAGGAUGAGCUCGCGGCCUAUCAGCUUGUUGGUGAGGUAAUGGCUCACCAAGGCGACGACGGGUAGCCGGCCUGGGAGGGUGACCGGCCACACUGGGACUGAGACACGGCCCAGACUCCUAUGGGAGGCAGCAGUGGGGAAUAUUGCACAAUGGGCGAAAGCCUGAUGCAGCAACGCCGCGUGAGGGAUGAAGGCCUUCGGGUUGUAAACCUCUUUUAGCAGGGAAGAAGCGAAAGUGACGGUACCUGCAGAAAAAGCACCGGCUAACUACGUGCCAGCCGCCGCCGUAA